AUUGAACGCUGGCGGAAUGCUUUACACAUGCAAGUCGAGCGGCAGCGCGGGGGCAACCCUGGCGGCGAGCGGCGAACGGGUGAGUAAUACAUCGGAACGUACCCAGUAGUGGGGGAUAACACAUCGAAAGAUGUGCUAAUACCGCAUACGACCUGAGGGUGAAAGGGGGGGAUCGCAAGACCUCUCGCUAUUGGAGCGGCCGAUGUCGGAUUAGCUAGUUGGUGGGGUAAAGGCCUACCAAGGCGACGAUCCGUAGCUGGUCUGAGAGGAUGAUCAGCCACACUGGGACUGAGACGCGGCCCAGACUCCUACGGGAGGCAGCAGUGGGGAAUUUUGGACAAUGGGGGCAACCCUGAUCCAGCCAUUCCGCGUGAGUGAAGAAGGCCUUCGGGUUGUAAAGCUCUUUCGGCAGGAACGAAACGGUGGGUCCUAAUACGAUCUGCUAAUGACGGUACCUGAAGAAGAAGCACCGGCUAACUACGUGCCAGCAGCCGCGGUAAUACGUAGGGUGCGAGCGUUAAUCGGAAUUACUGGGCGUAAAGCGUGCGCAGGCGGUUUUGUAAGACAGAUGUGAAAUCCCCGGGCUUAACCUGGGAACUGCGUUUGUGACUGCAAGACUCGAGUGUGGCAGAGGGGGGUGGAAUUCCACGUGUAGCAGUGAAAUGCGUAGAGAUGUGGAGGAACACCGAUGGCGAAGGCAGCCCCCUGGGUCAACACUGACGCUCAUGCACGAAAGCGUGGGUAGCAAACAGGAUUAGAUACCCUGGUAGUCCACGCCCUAAACGAUGCCAACUAGGUGUUGGGGAAGGAGACUUCCUUAGUACCGUAGCUAACGCGUGAAGUGGCCGCCUGGGA
rnacentral:rRNA from 1 species